GUCGAGCGCUGAGGGUUGGUACUUUGGACCACUGGAUGAGCAGCGAACGGGUGAGUAACGCGUGGGGAAUCUGCCUUUGAGCGGGGGACAACAUUUGGAAACAAAUGCUAAUACCGCAUAAAAACUUUAAACACAAGUUUUAAGUUUGAAAGAUGCAAUUGCAUCACUCAAAGAUGAUCCCGCGUUGUAUUAACUUGUUGGUGAGGUAAAGGCUCACCAAGGCGAUGAUACAUAGCCGACCUGAGAGGGUGAUCGGCCACAUUGGGACUGAGACACGGCCCAAACUCCUACGGGAGGCAGCAGUAGGGAAUCUUCGGCAAUGGACGAAAGUCUGACCGAGCAACGCCUCGUGAGUGAAGAAGGUUUUCGGAUCGUAAAACUCUGUUGGUAGAGAACAACGUUGGUGAGAGUGGAAAGCUCAUCAAGUGACGGUAACUACCCAGAAUGGGACGGCUAACUACGUGCCAGCAGCCGCGGUAAUACGUACGUCCCGAGCGUUGUCCGGAUUUAUUGGGCGUAAAGCGAGCGCAGGUGGUUUAUUAAGUCUGGUGUAAAAGGCAGUGGCUCAACCAUUGUAUGCAUUGGAAACUGGUAGACUUGAGUGCAGGACAGGAGAGUGGAACUCCAUGUG
rnacentral:rRNA from 1 species